UACGGAGGAUCCGAGCGUUAUCCGGAUUUAUUGGGUUUAAAGGGUGCGUAGGCGGUUUGAUAAGUUAGAGGUGAAAUGUCGGGGCUCAACCCCGAAACUGCCUCUAAUACUGUUGGACUAGAGAAUAGUUGCGGUAGGCGGAAUGUAUGGUGUAGCGGUGAAAUGCUUAGAGAUCAUACAGAACACCGAUUGCGAAGGCAGCUUACCAGACUGAGUCUGACGCUGAUGCACGAGAGCAUGGGUAGCGAACAGG
rnacentral:rRNA from 1 species